rnacentral:rRNA from 1 species
AAUCAACGCUGGCGGCGUGCCUAACACAUGCAAGUCGAACGAGAAGCAUCCUUCGGGAUGUGGACAGUGGCAGACGGGUGAGUAACGCGUGGGAAUUUACCAAGAGGUACGGGACAACCACUGGAAACGGUGGCUAAUACCGUAUGAGCCCCUUCGGAUGGUACCGGAUGGGGGAAAGAUUUAUCGCCUUUUGAUGAGCCCGCGUUGGAUUAGUUUGUUGGUGAGGUAAUGGCUCACCAAGACUACGAUCUAUAGCUGUUCUGAGAGGAAGAUCAGCCACACUGGGACUGAGACACGGCCCAGACUCCUACGGGAGGCAGCAGUGGGGAAUCUUGCACAAUGGGCGAAAGCCUGAUGCAGCCAUGCCGCGUGAGUGAAGAAGGCCUUAGGGUUGUAAAGCUCUUUCGCUAGGGAAGAUAAUGACGGUACCUAGUAAAGAAGCCCCGCUAACU